AUGCCUUUUUGUUUUCUUAGAGGCCACCGCAUUCCCGGGUGGCUCCCCGUGGACACGAAUCCCACUGUAUGCACCGGACUCUCUUGGGGAGCCGAAGAGGGCUUUUGUUUUUAUAUCCCAGAUUACAUUUCCCUUCCCCAGGCACAAGUGCCUCAUAACGGCCUGGGGCUGCUGACCAGCAGGGAGAACAUCUCUCUUUUUGCUGUGGGGAAGCACGUUCCAGCCCUGAGCUGCUCUUCUCGCCAAAUCCAUUGGUCCCCCGCCCCCUCCUCACCAGGCGUUGCUUUCAGCUGCCCGGAGACCCACAGAAGUGCCUGCCUCUCCAAUAAGCAUGGGGCACAGAGCAAGGGGGGAUGGGCAAGAGAGAAGCAAACCCCAGGCUCUGGGAAGUGGCCCUGGCUCCCCAGGGCCCAGCCCAGGGUCACCCGAGCCAUUUGCAGAGCUGGGGUCUGGGGUGAGUGGCUUCUGGGGCCCAUACACUUUGUCUCUAGGAGAUCCCAGAGAAAGCCAGUUGGGAAUUGGAUACUGUCUGCUCCCAAGGCCUGUGGCAUCCCCGGGUACCAAGGAAGCCACAUCUGAAUCUUGGGAAGCAGAGUUGGCUUUCUGCCCACCCUGGGGGUCCCUGGCGUGUUUCUGGGGCUCCCUCAACAUCUCAGGUUUCUAGCUCAUCCUAAAUCUCUCUUUAGGAAAAAAAACCUUUCCUACUUAAGGUAACUGUGUGUUCUGUCCCCCAAGGUGGGCCUGUCCCCUGCACCUCGGGGUGGCCUCUCCCUGACCCCCAGAGUUCCUGUGAGUGCCUUGUCUGAAACCUUCCUGUCUGGGAGCCCAGGCUGGGGAAGGGUCUGUCGUGACUUUGCUGGGGCCUGGGCUCCGGAAGAUCCCGAACUUGACACCCCAGAAAGCAAAUAAAACAGUUGAACUAUGUGAUUUCUUGUGUGUCUUUGUGAGAGGUUAGUGUUUACUGCGGUCACCCUCAGCCUGAGGGCCUGCGUGGGCAGAGGGGGGCCCUCGUUCACUGCGAUUUCUGUCCCUGGUGUGUGACCUGGUGCUCAGUCUGGGACAGCGGCUGUCGCGAGUGCGCCGAGGGAAGAAUGGUAAGAUUUCUGUACUGAACGAUGAGAGGAUUUCUGUAGGGAACAGUCUCCCUUCUUCACAACCCAGUGCACUCGUUCUGAUCCACAGAGACUGAGUAACUUGCCUGUGUUCACACAGCAAGGGGGUGUGGCGCUGGGAUUUGAAUCACAAACGUUUAGACCCCCAGCUUGUGCCACGUUCCCACUCACAACCCUGUGGUUGGGGGGGGGGGGUUGCCAUUAGCACCUUCUACAGACUGGGAAACUGAGGCUCUGCCAGGCGAAGCCUCUUGUCCCUCGUGUCGUGGCCAGGGAGCGGAGGGGCAGGAAAGCUGGCUCCAGGCCGGCUUCUCUGGAGCUAAGUGGUUUGAACCAGAAACAGGAUUUGGUCCGUCCCCUACGUAUGUCCUCAGAAGAAAUGAAGACAUUUUAAGGGUCAGUGGCUUUCAAAGAAUAGAUCUUUGAAACCAAAAGGACUUGUCUUGGAGAACGUGGCUCCCAGGGGAGGGGGAACCUCCUCCAAGCCCCUGAGGACACAGGGUCUUUGCACCCUCAGAGGAAGUGCCCUUUGCACCCAGCACAGCUCCAGGCCUGUAAUUGGUGUGUAAUAAACUACGGGAGGACUGAGGAAAGGGGCGAGAGCUCUGUGUUCCACCCUGGGGCCAGCAGGGGGCGCAGAGAGGCGCUGGAGCCUCCCGGGAGCAGAAGACACGCCCCAGAAGGCCAGCUUCCUUCUCCAGCCCUCCCGCCCAUGUGGCUUGUUCCUUGCCUUAGCCCGUGGCUGCCUCCGGUCACUUAUGAAGUGCCUAUUGUGCAUUGGUUCCUGGGGCUGGGGACACACCAAGGAUCCAGCAGUUUCCGGGCUGGGAGUACAGUGAAGGGGACCCCAUUAAUAAUGGGGGACACACAGGCAGCUGAAAAGUCCAAGGCAGAUGGGGGUUGGUUCAUGGGAGGGUAAGGCUUGGAGAGGCCGCGCUUGGCCCCAUUCAACAGUUUCCCUCAGCUCUCGCCUGGACGGUCUCAGUUACGUGAAGAUGAGGGUGUUGGACACCAGUCUCCUAGUUCUAGUCCACCCCAUUCUGGGGAUCUAAUGGGGGCCCCUCCCCUCCUCUCAUACCCUCCAUGGCUCCCUUUCGCUUACAGGAGAAAGCCAAACUCCUCUUGUGGGCAUUUGAACCUCCGUUCUCUUGGUACCACUGACCCCAUGCUUAUCUCCUCUGCCGGGAAGCCCCCCUGCCCCCAUUUACACCCGGAGAACUCCUAUGCAUACCUCAAAACCCAACGUCAACUUGAAACACGUUGAGUGUGACAGUCCUGGGUAGGGGUGAGGGGGGUAAAGUACUGAACCGGAAAUCCUAAAGUCCUUUCCCCACACCCUUUCACUUUCCUACCCCCUUUCUGCACUGGCAACUUGCCACGAGGCAUUCAGCAGUUUCUACAAGGAGUGUCUCGGACCUGCCCGGACAUAUCCAGGUCCCCCGGAAAGGGGGAGGGGCAGGCUCCAGUGGCACGUCCCCACCGCCCUUUGUGGUGCUGAUGGGGGGAGGUGGGGAGGCCAAGACAAAAAGAGACUAUGAGAGACUGAAAAGCGGAAAUGCAGAGAGAGCAAGGGAGAGAUUCAAAAAGGGGCAGAGAGAAAAUGUGAAAACUCCCUAGAUAUUUUCUCUUCCAAAGUCCCGUGUUUCGAGUGAGGACAGUGAGAGGCAGAGAGGACCCUUGCCAGCCAAGGUGAGACAGGGUGCCCUGCUGCCUCCGUUUCCCCCGUGAUAAGGAGCUGACACCCACCCCCACCUGGCAGGGUUGUGCGUCCCUGCCCCGCCACGGCCUG
rnacentral:lncRNA from 1 species